UACAGAGGGGGCAAGCGUUGUUCGGAAUUACUGGGCGUAAAGGGCGCGUAGGCGGCCUGCUAAGUCGAACGUGAAAUCCCCGGGCUCAACCCGGGAACUGCGUCCGAUACUGGUUGGCUCGAAUCCGGGAGAGGGAUGCGGAAUUCCAGGUGUAGCGGUGAAAUGCGUAGAUAUCUGGAGGAACACCGGUGGCGAAGGCGGCAUCCUGGACCGGCAUUGACGCUGAGGCGCGAAAGCCAGGGGAGCAAACGGG
rnacentral:rRNA from 1 species